GCGCUGCUACCCCAAUAUGGCAGAGGGGCCUGUUUCAGAAACAGGUGAGGUCCGGGUUCAAAUCCCGGGUGGCGUACCA
rnacentral:tRNA from 1 species